rnacentral:tRNA from 1 species
GGAGAGGUGGCUGAGUGGUCGAAAGCGGCUGAUUGCUAAUCCGUUGUACACAUAAAAGUGUACCGAGGGUUCGAAUCCCUCCCUCUCCG